rnacentral:lncRNA from 1 species
GACCCGAGGGGGGCCCCCACGCCCGCUCUGGCCUCUCAGCAUCUCCUAGGGAGCCGCGACCCUGCGCCCGCCGCCGCUGCCGCUGUCACCAGCCCGGCCCCAGGGGUGCCCUGGGCUCCGCGGCUGAGGCACCUAGGGAGUUGCCCCCCUAGUGGACGGCCUCUCAGGAGAUCCUGACCACCCUCUGGGAACCUGGACUCCUCCAAGCAUCGUCUUUCUCGCCUGCAUCUUCGGAGAGAGGUGCUGAGCCCUUCCUCAUGGAUACGGGGUCCCGGGAGGCAGCCUUCACCAGGGACCUGCCCAGGAAACCAGCAGAUGCCCAGCUGUAGCUGUGCAUUGAUGGCGCCGUGCGGCCCGGCCGCAGGUCCCGCAGCCGUGGAGAGGACCCAGCAGGUGGCGCGGGGAGAGCCCGGCUCGGCACGUGGUCAGCUCCAAGUCAGCCCUGAAAUGUCCAUUACUCACAAAGAAAAGGAAAAUGCUCAUUUGAAAGAAAUUCUUCUCUUUGUCAAUGCUGAGGCAUUCUCUCAGCCCCAGCCCCACAGUGCUCCAGUGUGUGAAGGGCAACAGCUGACGGGGAAGUUCAGCACAUCUGUGCUGACCAGGGCUGGAGGCGAUGCCAGUCCGUGCAGCUGGGAACGCCUCCUCUGCUAUGGCUGGAGCCACUGCUGAAGGGACUCCACCUGGCACCUAUGCCACCAAUGGCCCCUGAACGGGUAUCUAGGCCCACCCUUAAUAAAGAUGAGCUGCUCA